CUAUGUAAUUAAUUACGUCGAAAAAUACCCUCUAAUUUCAUUUCAGUUUUCUUUCACGUUCUUGAAGCUUUUGCAAAAUUGGAAAAUGGGGUUUCUUGAUCUUGAUAAAAACUUUGCUUUCUAUUCAGCUUAUCACAGCAACUCAAUUAACAUAACCAUUCAUAUGAUAUUUGUUUGGCCGAUCUUCUUCUCUGCUGCUCUUCUUUUCAAUUUCAUACCUGCUCCAUUUGAUUUCCCCAAUUUCCAUUUUUCUUUAUUUCAGACCCAUUUUAUCCUGAUUUUUAACUUUGCCUUCUUGUUUACUUUGAUCUACGCUGUGUUUUAUAUCUGUUUGGAUUUUAAGGCUGGUUCGUUGGCUGCUUUACUCUGUCUCUUUUGUUGGAUUGCUAGUACUGCUCUUGCAAGUCUCCUAGGGUUUCAACUGGCCUGGAAGGUCGUUCUCGUUGUGCAACUGGUUUCUUGGAUCGCGCAAUUUAUAGGCCAUGGGGUAUUCGAGAGAAGAGCACCUGCUCUUCUUGACAACAUUUUGCAAGCCUUCUUGAUGGCUCCAUUCUUUGUUUUGUUUGAGACACUUCAGAUUCUUUUCGGGUACGAACCGUAUCCAGGAUUUCGUGUUCGUGUUAAAGCGAUGGUAGAUGCUGAAACCGAAGAUUGGAGGAACAAGAAGGGCAUGUCCCCGCUUGUUGUUUGUUCGUAUUUUUGACCUGGAAUGCAGUGAACUUGAACGGAGAAGUGUUUUGGAAGAAACCAUCUUUCGGGCUUGACUUCAUUUGCAUCAGAAUCCCAAUUUCGUCCGAUUGAUUAAGUGGCUACAAUUGUUGUGUACGUCUAAAAUCGAAUCCCUGGACAUAUGU